rnacentral:rRNA from 1 species
UACGGGGGGGGCAAGCGUUGUUCGGAAUUACUGGGCGUAAAGGGCUCGUAGGCGGCCAACUAAGUCGGACGUGAAAUCCCCAGGCUCAACCUGGGAACUGCGUCUGAUACUGGAUGGCUUGAAUCCGGGAGAGGGAUGCAGAAUUCCAGGUGUAGCGGUGAAAUGCGUAGAUAUCAGGAGGAACACCGGUGGCGAAGGCGGUUCUCUGGGCAUUACCUGACGCUGAGGAGCGAAAGUGUGGGGAGCGAACAGG